UUAAUAUGAAAUGGUAGACUUUGUGAUUUUAGCUCUGGAGGCUUCUGGCUGCCAGGAUGGAAAGUGAAGCAGGCAGGAUUCUAACAGGUGUUAAGACAGCAGCCAGUAUGUGACAUCUUUGCCAGUAUGUGAUAAAAGCCUGAUGCAGGGCUGUAAAGCUGACUUCCGGUCACAGGAAAUUACUCCUGGAAUUGAAUCAUACCAAGAAUUUCACCAGAGGAUUUUAUACAUUUGGGCUAUGGCCGCAGACCAAUUAAACCACAGAGCUGUUCUAGAGGUGAGAAGUCCCAAGAUCUAGACGGAGCAGAGCUGGUUUCUUCCAAGGAGCCUGAGGGAAGAAUCUGUUCCAGGUGUCUCUUCUCGACUUUUAGGUGGCUGUCUUCUCCCCCGUGUCUUCACACAGUCUUUUCUCUGUACGUGUCUAUGUCCACAUUUACUCUUCUUACAAGGAUGCCAGUCAUGUUAGAUUAGGACCCACCCUAAUGAUCUCAUUUUACCUUAAGUACCUCUUUAAAGAUCUUGUCUCCAAAUAUAGUCUCAUUCUGAGGUUCUGGGGGUUAGGAUUUCAACCUAUGAAUUUUAGGGGAAUGCACUUUAGCCCCUAAUAUCACAUAUGACUAUGGUGAUUCAAAUCUUUGUCUUUCUCAUAUCCAUAUCUUGAGAUAUUCAAAACCGCUUAUGUUUCCCUGCAAAAUGUGUCUAGGUGACCUGUAAUUAUGAGCAAUGAUUGUCCUCAACAUGAUAUACUUUUAAUAGACACUGAAGGAAAGUUCUUGGUUCAGAAGGAUAUCUCUACUUGAAAUGUUGUCCCAUUUAGCCCAUAGUCUACUAUUUUGGCAAAGUUAUAAAAAAGAAUAAAGAGGGACUAUGUUGGAGAAGGAGUUCGACAGGUUAUUGUUUGCAGGUUACUAGGAUUCAUGGGAAAAUACUGAAUAUGAGCGAAAAGAGAGGCCUAUAGAAUGACAUUAUUUUUGGUAGUUCAAGGAAUACCCAUUACCAUCAUUUAUCAUCACCACUAGUUACUAAUUAUUUUUAACCCGUGAGGAAACUGAGAGGGUUUACUCACUUGCCCAAGGUCUCACAUAUUGUAACUGAUGUCUGCCCCAAGUCUAUAUGACUCCAGAGUUUAAACUCUUAACUGUUCAUACUAAAAUGUUCCUUACACAUACACUUCUGAGGAGGUGAUAUAUCUAAGUAUUCCUAAAUGAGUAUUCCAGUUUGCCUUCAGUCCUGAUAUAUACUUUUUUGUUCAGUGUUUGUAUCAUUGUUGAUUUGCUGUGGCAAAUGCAUGUCUGUCUUAGAUAUUGAAUUCAUAAAGGAUAAAAUCCACAACUAGGUCAGUAUUGUAUAGUUUAUUUCAUUGCACAUCUUGAAUUACAUUGAAAAUUUAAAAUAA